UCAAAUCCCAGGAAGUUGCCAGGGGAGCUGUGCAGCACAUCCCAUGGGAUGAUCCCUAUAGACACAUGCUUCAAGAAGUAGAACCCUUCCUGUCUUAUGCCAACUCCCACAUAGUUGUGAAAGUCAUUUUUGUGCAUGGACAUGGAAGGAAAGGAAUAGAACAGGGAAGAAAGACAUGAGGAGACAAAGGAAAAGAAAAAAAGAUUUCAAGUUUGGGACAUAAGAAUCAUCAGUCAAGGGGAAGAAGGACCAGGCAGCUGCUGCUACUCACUUUUCUGGUCUUCUAACAGGGUUUGGAGUAUACUGAAACCUUGGAAAUGUCCACACAUAUUUCACAUGCUGUUGACUAAAUCCUGUGCCAAUGACCAAGACUGUCCCUCAGAAAAGUUGCCAAGUAGGCAAGUUUGUUUUCUGAGUUCCCAUUCUCUUGCUUCCGUGAUCCCUCAUCAAAAUCUGCUCAUAGAAGAGGAUUUGAAACUAUUUAUACUAAGUUAUAAAUGACUGAUAAAGUUUAGUUUUCCCCUUCUCUGGGGUAUUUUAAUUUUAAUAGGGAUCAAAGCCUGUAAUACAGAGGUAUAACUUUAGGUAUUAACCAGCACGUGGGGGAGUUUUUUGUUGCUGUUUAUUAGAAUCAUUUAGCCUUCCCAAAGCCUUUGAAAUCAUACCAAGGAGGCAAUUAACACCUUUGCCUAUGCAUAAAGCCAAGUAAUAGCACUGAAGAUAGAGAUAAUGUUAUGUCUCAAACUAUAAUUUGUCCCUAUAAUGAUGGAGGAGGUGGAAGUUCCAGAUAUGCAGCCUAAACUGUAUCUCCAUUGUUUUAUCAUCACAAGAUUUCUCUUUCCCUGCAACUUGCCCCUUAUGUUUUAAGGAAGUGUUAAGCACAGUUACAAUUCAUAAGAUAUCCACCAGAGGAAAGAAGUUGUAGAUACGACAUCCCCAUCCCCCUCAUUUGUCUGACUUCUCUCAGGUUAGUGCAUUAUGGGACAGGACGCCCAGAAAAAAAAAAAAACUAAAUUAGAGAAAUUCCUUAAAGAGCCAGAUAUCAUAGCUAUACCUUCCUGAUCCCUAGAAACUGACUAAGUCCCAUUCCGCUCUCUGAUGAUAGUCAAAUAUGCUCAAAGACAAAAAUGUUGUGGCUGGCUUUAUAAUCUACCAGAAUCUUCCUCCUUAAGUACCUUGGUGAUGGUGGCAUAAUUACUAAUUGCAUAGCCCACCUGCUCCUGGCUUUGCUUCUUCCUUUAGCUAUCUGCUUAAAUAGUUGUAGGAAAAAAUGUUUUGUAUACAUACACCCCCAACCCUAAUUGUUGUUAACUAACAAUAUGCUCUACCCCACCCAUGUCUUUAUUGGUUGAGAAUACCUCUUGAAUGUUCA